AUUCUCAAUCUCUCCGCCUCCAUUCUCAAUUCUCAAUCUCAAUCUCAAUCUCAAUCUCAAUCUCAAUCUCUUUCGAUGUAGUCUCUAAUUUUAAAAGUUAAAUCUCACAAACUCUAAGCCUCCAAUCCACACCAAAUCCACCCUCGAGCAGUGCUCCAGCCAUCCACGCCGUCUUCAGAAGAAGAUUUAUAAAGUCCAUUCAAAGCUUAUGAGAAAAAUUGUGGGCAAAAAGAUAUGGCCAAAGCUCAUCCCGUGGAAGUAUUGAAGACUUGGAAUGGAUUUAUAUUGUUAUAAUUUGCUGUAGAUUAAUUAGAUAUCACGAAUCUCUAUUUUUAUGUUUUGGCCUAAAUAUUUAUUUUUGUUGGUUGAUGGAUUUGUUAAUUAUGGUAUGGUUUCUUGUGUUAUUUUUCAGUUUUAAGUUUUUAGGUUUAAAAUCUCAUAUAAUUUCGAUUUUCGGUUUA